UGAAUAUGGGGGGACCAUCCUCCAAGGCUAAAUACUCCUGACUGACCGAUAGUGAACCAGUACCGUGAGGGAAAGGCGAAAAGAACCCCUGUGAGGGGAGUGAAAUAGAACCUGAAACCGUGUACGUACAAGCAGUAGGAGCACCUUCGUGGUGUGACUGCGUACCUUUUGUAUAAUGGGUCAGCGACUUAUAUUCAGUGGCAAGGUUAACCGUAUAGGGGAGCCGUAGCGAAAGCGAGUCUUAACUGGGCGCUCAGUCUCUGGAUAUAGACCCGAAACCGGGUGAUCUAGCCAUGGGCAGGUUGAAGGUUGAGUAACAUCAACUGGAGGACCGAACCGACUAAUGUUGAAAAAUUAGCGGAUGACUUGUGGCUAGGGGUGAAAGGCCAAUCAAACUCGGAGAUAGCUGGUUCUCCCCGAAAGCUAUUUAGGUAGCGCCUCGGACGAAUACUACUGGGGGUAGAGCACUGUUAAGGCUAGGGGGUCAUCCCGACUUACCAACCCUUUGCAAACUCCGAAUACCAGUAAGUACUAUCCGGGAGACACACGGCGGGUGCUAACGUCCGUCGUGGAGAGGGAAACAACCCAGACCGCCAGCUAAGGUCCCAAAGUAUUGCUAAGUGGGAAACGAUGUGGGAAGGCUCAGACAGCUAGGAUGUUGGCUUAGAAGCAGCCAUCAUUUAAAGAAAGCGUAAUAGCUCACUAGUCGAGUCGGCCUGCGCGGAAGAUGUAACGGGGCUAAGCAAUACACCGAAGCUGCGGCAAUGUCUUUUAGACAUUGGGUAGGGGAGCGUUCUGUAAGCCGUUGAAGGUGAAUCGUAAGGUUUGCUGGAGGUAUCAGAAGUGCGAAUGCUGACAUGAGUAACGACAAAGGGGGUGAAAAACCUCCUCGCCGGAAGACCAAGGGUUCCUGUCCAACGUUAAUCGGGGCAGGGUGAGUCGACCCCUAAGGUGAGGCCGAAAGGCGUAAUCGAUGGGAAACGGGUUAAUAUUCCCGUACUUCUGACUAUUGCGAUGGGGGGACGGAGAAGGCUAGGUGGGCCAGGCGACGGUUGUCCUGGUUCAAGUGCGUAGGCUUGAGAGUUAGGUAAAUCCGGCUCUCUCUAAGGCUGAGACACGACGUCGAGCUACUACGGUAGUGAAGUCAUUGAUGCCAUGCUUCCAGGAAAAGCCUCUAAGCUUCAGAUAGUCAGGAAUCGUACCCCAAACCGACACAGGUGGUCGGGUAGAGAAUACCAAGGCGCUUGAGAGAACUCGGGUGAAGGAACUAGGCAAAAUGGUACCGUAACUUCGGGAGAAGGUACGCUCUUGAUGGUGAAGUCCCUCGCGGAUGGAGCUGACGAGAGUCGCAGAUACCAGGUGGCUGCAACUGUUUAUUAAAAACACAGCACUGUGCAAAAUCGCAAGAUGACGUAUACGGUGUGACGCCUGCCCGGUGCCGGAAGGUUAAUUGAUGGGGUUAGCGCAAGCGAAGCUCUUGAUCGAAGCCCCGGUAAACGGCGGCCGUAACUAUAACGGUCCUAAGGUAGCGAAAUUCCUUGUCGGGUAAGUUCCGACCUGCACGAAUGGCGUAAUGAUGGCCACGCUGUCUCCACCCGAGACUCAGUGAAAUUGAAAUCGCUGUGAAGAUGCAGUGUACCCGCGGCUAGACGGAAAGACCCCGUGAACCUUUACUACAGCUUGGCACUGAACAUUGAACCUACAUGUGUAGGAUAGGUGGGAGGCUAUGAAGACGUGACGCCAGUUGCGUUGGAGCCGUCCUUGAAAUACCACCCUUGUAUGU
rnacentral:rRNA from 2 species